rnacentral:rRNA from 1 species
UACGUAGGGUGCGAGCGUUGUCCGGAAUUACUGGGCGUAAAGAGUCCGUAGGCGGUUUGUCGCGUCGUUCGUGAAAACUUGGGGCUUAACUCCAAGCGUGCGGGCGAUACGGGCAGACUUGAGUACUACAGGGGAGACUGGAAUUCCUGGUGUAGCGGUGAAAUGCGCAGAUAUCAGGAGGAACACCGGUGGCGAAGGCGGGUCUCUGGGUAGUAACUGACGCUGAGGAACGAAAGCGUGGGUAGCGAACAGG